GUCUAGCCUGCCCACUGAAAAAUUUUAAAUGGCCGCAGUAUUUUGACUGUGCAAAGGUAGCAUAAUCAUUAGUUUCUUAAUUAGAAGCUUGUAUGAAAGGUUGGAUGAGGUAAAAUCUGUCUCUAUAUAAAUUAAAUUAGAAUUUAAUUUUUAAGUUAAAAAGCUUAAAUUUUAUUAAAAGACGAGAAGACCCUAUAGAACUUUAUAAUUUAGUUAAUUAAAUUAAUUUGGAUUAUUUUAUAUUUAUUUAAUUUUAUUAUUUUAUUGGGGUAAUAGAAAGAUUUAAUAAAUUCUUUUUUUAAAAAACAUUAAUUUAUGAUUUUAAUGAUCCAUUAUUAUUGAUUAUAAGAUUAAGUUACCUUAGGGAUAACAGCGUAAUUUUUUUAGAGAGUUCAUAUCGAUAAAAAAGUUUGCGACCUCGAUGUUGGAUUAAAGAUUAAUUUAGGUGUAGAAGUUUAAAUAUUUGGUCUGUUCGACCAUUAAAUCUUUACGUGAUCU
rnacentral:rRNA from 1 species